rnacentral:rRNA from 1 species
UACCGCGAAGAACCYUWCCYWMYYCUUSAYAUCUACAGAAGCCAGCGGAGACGCAGGUGUGCCUUCGGGAACUGUAARACMGGUKSUKCAUGGCUGUCGUCAGCUCGUGUUGUGAAAUGUUGGGUUAAGUCCCGCAACGAGCGCAACCCUUAUCCUUGUUUGCCAGCACUUCGGGUGGGAACUCCAGGGAGACUGCCGGUGAUAAACCGGAGGAAGGUGGGGACGACGUCAAGUCAUCAUGGCCCUUACGAGUAGGGCUACACACGUGCUACAAUGGCGCAUACAGAGGGCGGCCAACUUGCGAAAGUGAGCGAAUCCCAAAAAGUGCGUCGUAGUCCGGAUUGGAGUCUGCAACUCGACUCCAUGAAGUCGGAAUCGC